rnacentral:rRNA from 1 species
GGUUAGACGAAAAAUCUAGGUAGAAUAAUAAAUAAAAUUAAUUAACAGCAAAAUAUUAAAAGUAAACUUUUUUCUUUUUUUAGGUGAAAUUUAUAUAAAGGAAUAAAUUUUCUCAUUUAUAUUUAAGGGAAUUACAAAAUAAAGAUUAGAAACCAGGAUUAGAUACCCUGUUAUUCUUUAAAAUGUGCAAUAGGGUAGUAAAAGUUGUUCUUCAAACCCAAAGAUUUUGGCGGCAUUCUAACCAAAUAGAGGAGCUUGUCUUAUAAUCGAUAACCCACGUUAUAUCUUACCCCUUCUGAUCUAGUUUGUAUACCUCCGUUGUCAGAUUACUCUAAAAGGAUGUUUUCAAUAAAAAUUAUUUUACUACUUCAGGUCAAGGUGCAACUUAUGAGGGGGCAAACGGUGAGCUACAAUUUUCUAAAGAAUACGGAUGUUUAAGUUAAAAUUUAACUGAAGGUGGAUUUAUCAGUAAAUUAAUUUAAGGAAAAUUAAUUGAAUGGGGCAAUAGCAUGUGUACAUAUCGCCCGUCACUCUCCUCCUAAAAGGAGA